GGCUUGGUCUCUCUUAUCUCUUCGUGCGACCAUUACAAAUAUUCUCAAUUUCUGAUGGAUUGUUGAACAAUUGAAGCGCCAUGAUCGUCAGCAUUGCGCUUAGAAAGAAUACAUAGGCUCCUCGACAACGACGAAUCCCGCAGAGGUCCCAUUUAGCUUCCGCAGCAGUACACCUUCAAGCCCUAGCUACGAGAAACAAGUGGUUGUAUGGAUUAAACCAGUGAAAGUCUUAGUGCACACUGCAACACUCUAUGGCGUCAUGCAGUAGGACAAAAAUUAAAAGCCUUCAGGAUCCUCCCAAUGAAAGAAGCUGACCUUCAAGUUUUGCCUGCUGGUAAUCCUUCUUCUACUGUCAAGGUAAUCCUUCUUCCAGAAACUAAUUGGAUGCGCUUGAUAAGAUACAAAAUACCUGCUUGUCUUUGCGGUGCUACUACUGUUCUGUGUAGCAUAUUUAGUUUUGUUUCCAAUUGUUUUCCCUAGUUAUGUCUUGUUCUAAUUUUGUGCCAUUCUGAUAAACGCAGUCGGUAGACUUUUUAUGGAGUUUUUUGGUCCAAAAAUUUCAGUGCAAAAUAUUUUAACUGUCAAGAUUUUAGAAAUAAUAGCAUUUUAUUUGAUGAAAAAUAUAUUUAGAAUGAAAUUCUAAAGAAUUUGAAAUUAAUCUCUUAGUUUAUUUUGCUACGAUUGCCAUCACCUAUCACCUAUCAUCAUUACCGUCGAUCACGAUGUUAGACCGGUCCCCUCCUUGGACCGGUCCAGUCGGCCCAGCCCCCUGGGCCGGUUCGGCUUGUUUACAACAGAAGGGGCCGGCGGCUUCAAAGAGGUGGGAAAGGGUGGGGUCCUCUUGAUAUUCAAAUACAAUCGGAGAAGCAAGGGCGAUUAGAUCCUUUUGUAUUAAUUUUGAAUUGUAUGCAUUAAGUAGGGAGAAAAGGCUAGGGUUAGGGUUAUGUGAGAUUUUUCUUAAAGUUCUCUUGGGUUUUUUUGUGGCUAAGGCUCUAGAUUGAUAUCUAGAGAUUGGGAGAGUGUGAUUCUCCUCUCGAAUAGAGGAUCUCUUGUAUCUUUAUUGUUUUUCUUUCAUCUGCUAGUAAACUACAAGUUGUUUCUCCACUAUUUCUCUCAGAUUUGCUGUUUCUUCCACUAUUUUGCUGUCAUUUUCCGCUGUGGACAGUAGGUUUCAUUGAUUAUUGCUUCCAAAGUGGGUAUUUCCUAUCACACGACUGCCACCAAUUGCUAUAGAUUACAAUCAUCAUCGGCCGCCAUCAUUAGCCACCAUUGCUACCACCUUUCCCAACCUACCAAUUUGAAUUGAAUUGAAUAGAAUAGAAGGUUAAGCAUUUGAUAACUGUUGAUGGUAGCACGUAGCUCAUCUUGAUAGGACAUUUAGGCUAUUUAACACAAACUCGCAUACAUGGGUGAUGUUUCUCUUAUUCUGUCUCAUUAUUGCCAAAUUGAUUUUGUGGUUAAUGUCUGUUUCUAGCUAUCUUUUAAGUUUAUCUGCCUCCCUUGUAGUCUCUUUUUUUGCAGCUUCAAGAGUUGGAUUGUCACUAGGUUCGUCGUCUCGAUUCUGCAUCAUUUUUUGGGCUCUAGUGGUUUCAACCACAAUUUUGCCAGGAAGAUCGGGUUCAUUCUUUAUCCUAUCCUCUUCUAUUUUUGGGUGCUGUCAUCUUGCAGCCCUAGCAUGUUAUUAGGUUUUUUUGUUACUCUUAGAUUUAGGAACCAUCAGCUCAUAGGUUUUUUUCUUUUUGACUUUGUAGCUCUGACGAGCAUUAGAGAGCUGAAGGUUCUUAUUAAGGACUUUGUAACCGGUUUUUUAUAUUAACGCGUAGGCCCCUCUAUGGGUUUUAACAAAAAAAAAAAAA